AUGUACCACCCGUACACUCCGGUUCUGAGCGCGCCGUCCGCACCCACCUGGCGGCUGCGCAGUAGUUUUGUUAGCC
rnacentral:sRNA from 1 species